rnacentral:rRNA from 1 species
UGCGUCUCCCUCUUUGGAGUGGGCCGCGGGGAGUAAGAUAUCUUUAAUCCAUUAAUCUGUUUUAAACCAGUUUUGUCUGAAGCAAUGUAUCAUUGAAUUGACCUAAUUCGAAAAUACAACUUUCAACAACGGAUCUCUUGGCUCUCGCAUCGAUGAAGAACGCAGCGAAAUGCGAUACGUAAUGUGAAUUGCAGAAUUCAGUGAAUCAUCGAAUCUUUGAACGCACAUUGCGCUCUCUGGUAUUCCGGAGAGCAUGCUUGUUUGAGUAUCAGUAAAACACCCUCAGCUCUCUCGUUUCUCCUGUUAAAAGGAAGGCGAGGGAACUGGACGUGAGUGAUCCCAACGGCAGUUUGAUUGUAAAAGAAAACCGCUGGCGGGUCGCUUGAAAUGCAGGUGCGGCUGGACACAUCUUCUGAGCUAUAAGCAUUACUUAUUUAAUCCCGUUAAACGGAUUAUUUCUAUUGCUGCAGCUAACAUAAAGGUUGAUUGUCCUUGUGCCCGACUGAUGCAGGAAAACAAAGAGACAAUCUUUGUUCAACUCGAUCUCAAAUCAAGUAAGACUACCCGCUGAACUUAA